CAUGAUAUCGGGAGGCACGCCAUCAGAUACCAUCUCUUUGAAUAUUUCUUGAGCCAUAUCACAAUCUCCAGCUUGAAAUAACCCUUGGAUAAGAGUGGUGUAAGUGACUGUGUUGCCAACCAAUCCUCUUUGAGACAUCUCGCGGAAGAGUUCCAUACCUUCGUCUACUCUCUUAGCCUUACAAAAUCCCUUUAUAAGAGUAUUAUAAGUCACUACGUUUGGGAAACAGUCCUUGCUAAUCAUCAACUCAAACAUGU
rnacentral:sRNA from 1 species